GAGUGCAGUUUAUGUGAAUUUGUGCCUCUUUUGGGGAACAUGGUGUCCGUUGAAUCACUGCAGUUAUGUUUUGUCAUGAAAACCAAAGAGUACUCCAGAAGGAUUAAUGAUAUAUUGUGAAGAUCAAGUAAGGUUUCUCAAGGGGUGUGCACUAAGAGAUGUGCGUAGACAGACCUGAAUCAUCAUCUAUUAGCUGCCUAGC
rnacentral:lncRNA from 1 species